rnacentral:rRNA from 1 species
UGCGCAGGCGGCUUUUUAAGACAGGUGUGAAAUCCCCGGGCUUAACCUGGGAAUGGCGCUUGUGACUGGAAGGCUAGAGUGCGGCAGAGGGGGAUGGAAUUCCUGGUGUAGCAGUGAAAUGCGUAGAUAUCAGGAGGAACACCGAUGGCGAAGGCAGUCCCCUGGGUCGACACUGACGCUCAGGCACGAAAGCGUGGGGAGCAAACAGGAUUAGAUACCCUGGUAGUC